GUACGAAAGGUGCAAGCGUUGUUCGGAUUUACUGGGCGUAAAGAGAGUGUAGGUGGUUUAUUAAGUCGGAUGUGAAAUCCCGGGGCUCAACCUUGGAACUGCAUUCGAUACUGAUAGGCUAGAGUUUGGGAGGGGUAAGCGGAAUUCCGUGUGUAGCAGUGAAAUGCGUAGAUAUACGGAGGAACACCUGAGGCGAAGGCGGCCUACUGGACCAAUACUGACACUGAGACUCGAAAGCGUGGGUAGCAAACAGGAUUAGAUACCCUAGUAGUCC
rnacentral:rRNA from 1 species